GGAUAUCCUUCUUCUGGGCCUUAUCCUCCUGGGCCUCCAGGACCAUAUCCACCCCCUAAUGCAGGGUACCCAUACCAAGGCUAUCCACAAUAUGGCUGGCAGGGCGGACCCCCUCCAGAAGCUCCCAAAACCACAGUGUAUAUACAAAGGAACCGGGAGAAGAGAGGUUGCUGGGAAGCAUUUGCAGCUUGCUGGACUCUUUUAUGUUGCUGCUGCCUUAUGGACAUGCUUGAUUAAUCAGCCAUGAUGUCCCUUUGCCAACCAGGGUUUCUACAGUCUUCCUAACAGCAUGCCCAUUAGUACUCACCACUUGGUUGCCAUAAUAAAUCACUGACUCUGCAUA